rnacentral:rRNA from 1 species
GACGAACGCUGGCGGCGUGCUUAACACAUGCAAGUCGAACGAUGAACCGGUUUCGGCCGGGGAUUAGUGGCGAACGGGUGAGUAACACGUGGGCAAUCUGCCCUGCACUCUGGGACAAGCCCUGGAAACGGGGUCUAAUACCGGAUACGACAUGGGAAUGCAUGUUCCUGUGUGGAAAGCUCCGGCGGUGCAGGAUGAGCCCGCGGCCUAUCAGCUAGUUGGUGGGGUAGAGGCCUACCAAGGCGACGACGGGUAGCCGGCCUGAGAGGGCGACCGGCCGCACUGGGACUGAGACACGGCCCAGACUCCUACGGGAGGCAGCAGUGGGGAAUAUUGCACAAUGGGCGAAAGCCUGAUGCAGCGACGCCGCGUGAGGGAUGACGGCCUUCGGGUUGUAAACCUCUUUCAGCAGGGAAGAAGCUUUCGGGUGACGGUACCUGCAGAAGAAGCACCGGCUAACUACGUGCCAGCCGCCGCAGUAA